rnacentral:rRNA from 1 species
UGCUAGUCGCGCGGGUUAGACCCGCGGCAUACAGCUCAGUAGCACGUGGCCAAACUACCCUGUGGAUAGGGACAAUCUCGGGAAACUGAGGCUAAUCCCUGAUAGAGCUCCCAUCCUGGAAUGGAGGGAGCUCGAAACGCUUCGGCGCCACAGGAUGCGGCUGCGGCCGAUUAGGUAGAUGGUGGGGUAACGGCCCACCAUGCCGAUAAUCGGUACAGGUCGUGAGAGCGAGAGCCUGGAGACGGUAUCUGAGACAAGAUACCGGGCCCUACGGGGCGCAGCAGGCGCGAAACCUUUACACUGCACGAGAGUGCGAUAGGGGGACACCGAGUGCGCAGGCAUAGAGCCUGCGCUUUUCUACACCCUAAGGUGGUGUAGGAAUAAGGGCUGGGCAAGACCGGUGCCAGCCGCCGCGGUAACACCGGCAGCCCAAGUGAUGGCCGAUUUUAUUGGGCCUAAAGGGUCCGUAGCCGGCCCUGCAAGUCCGUUGGGAAAUCUGCUCGCUUAACGAGCAGGCGUCCAGCGGAUACUGUAGGGCUUGGGACCAGGAGACUUGAGGGGUACGUCCGGGGUAGGAGUGAAAUCCUGUAAUCCUGGACGGACCACCGAUGGCGAAAGCACCUCAAGAGACUGGAUCCGACGGUGAGGGACGAAAGCUAGGGUCUCGAACCGGAUUAGAUACCCGGGUAGUCCUAGCUGUAAACGAUGCCUGUUA